GCCGAUGGCUUUGCUGAACUCGCUGCGUCUCGUCCCAUCGGUUCUGAGAAAAUAAGCAGUUCCAGGCCUGGCUAAACGGUGCGGGGAGAUCAUCUGGGAAUUCAGGAAGCUAACGGCA
ensembl:rRNA 5S_rRNA 5S ribosomal RNA